rnacentral:rRNA from 1 species
CAGCUCGUGUUGUGAAAUGUUGGGUUAAGUCCCGCAACGAGCGCAACCCUUAUCCUUUGUUGCCAGCGGUUAGGCCGGGAACUCAAAGGAGACUGCCAGUGAUAAACUGGAGGAAGGUGGGGAUGACGUCAAGUCAUCAUGGCCCUUACGACCAGGGCUACACACGUGCUACAAUGGCGCAUACAAAGAGAAGCGACCUCGCGAGAGCAAGCGGACCUCAUAAAGUGCGUCGUAGUCCGGAUUGGAGUCUGCAACUCGACUCCAUGAAGUCGGAAUCGCUAGUAAUCGUGGAUCAGAAUGCCACGGUGAAUACGUUCCCGGGCCUUGUACACACCGCCCGUCACACCAUGGGAGUGGGUUGCAAAAGAAGUAGGUAGCUUAACCUUCGGGAGGGCGCUUACCACUUUGUGAUUCAUGACUGGGGUGAAGUCGUAACAAGGUAACCGUAGGGGAACCUGCGGUUGGA